UAAUCUUAUUUUUUUUAGAAGUUUUAAUGAUAAAAAUAAAAUUUGCUUUACUUAAAUUGAAUGCUUGAAUUUGAAUUUUUUAAGUAAAAUCAACUAAAGUCUUUUUCAUAUAAUCUGGGUGCAGGAAUGUGUUUUGGCUUUCUAUUCAGAUGAUUCAGGAUUGAAUAUAGAUCUUUCACCCUGAAAUAUUUUCUUAGGGAAUCUGGCCCAACAGAAUAAUCCCUAUAUAGCUCUGCAAGCAGUUUAUGAUUGGACCACAUCACUUUCCAAUUUGUUGGCUGAUUACUAAGUUAUGUCAAAAAAAUAAUUUUCAUUAUGCUUAUUUUUGCUAUAAUCUUGGUGGGAUUUCUAUAAGUGCAUUCAUUUCAUAUUAUGUUACCAGCAUAUUUAAAUCAUUGUCCCUGAUUCAUUUUAUUAAUCAAAGUGAACAAAUUAAUCCCUACAUUCUAU
rnacentral:lncRNA from 1 species